GGAAGCGACCGGAGGCCCUGGUUCAAGGGCGGGGCUAAAGGCUGGGGGCACCCGGCUGGGAAGUGCAGGCAAAGCCGGCUGCUACCCUGCACCCCCUUCACCCUCAUCUUUCUCUUCAGGUGAGGAGGCGUCCAUGGAACGACUUCUGGUCCAGCUGUGCGGUAGCAGCGCAGCGUGGCCGCUCCCGCUGUGGGAGGGGGACACCACAGGCCACUGCUUCACUCAGCUGGUGCUCAGCGCCCUGCCCCACGCGCUCCUCGCCGUGCUCAGUGCCUGCUACUUGGGCACCCCGAGGAGUCCAGAUCACAUCCUACCCUGCAGUCCUGGAUGGCUACUCCGACUUGCAGCUUCCUUCCUGCUUUCCAUCUUCCCGCUGCUCGACCUCCUUCCAGUUGCUUUGCCACCAGGGGCAGGCCCAGGACCCAUAGGACUAGAGGUGUUGACAGGGUGUGUGGCAGCUGUGGCCUGGAUCAGCCACAGCCUGGCCCUGUGGGUGUUGGCCCAUUCCCCUCAUGGCCACUCCCGGGGUCCCCUGGCCUUGGCUCUGGUAGCCUUGCUGCCAGCUCCCGCCCUAGUGCUGACCGUGUUGUGGCAUUGCCAGCGAGGCACACUUCUACCCCCACUUCGCCCAGGGCCCGUGGCCCGUCUGUGCCUGCUCAUUCUGCAGCUGGCUGCACUCUUGGCCUACGCACUGGGAUGGGCAGCUCCUGGGGGACCACGAGAACCCUGGGCUCAGGAGCCCCUCCUGCCUGGGGAUCAAGAACCCGAGGUAGCUGAAGAUGGGGAGAGUUGGUUGUCACGCUUUUCCUAUGCCUGGCUGGCACCCUUGCUGGCCCGUGGGGCCUGUGGAGAGCUCCGGCAGCCUCAGGACAUUUGCCGCCUCCCCCACAGACUGCAUCCAACCUACCUGGCUCGUGUCUUCCAGGCACACUGGCAGGAGGGGGCCCAGCUGUGGAGGGCUUUGUAUGGGGCCUUUGGACAGUACUAUCUGGCACUUGGACUGCUGAAGCUGGUGGGGACCAUGCUGGGAUUCUCAGGGCCCCUCCUGCUUUCCCUACUGGUGGGCUUCCUGGAAGAGGGCCAGGAGCCACUAAGCCAGGGCCUGCUGUAUGCUCUGGGGCUUGCUGGUGGGGCUGUGCUGGGUGCUGUGCUGCAGAAUCAGUAUGGUUAUGAGGUACGUAAGGUAGCACUUCAGGCACGGGGGGCCGUGCUGAACAUCCUGUACUGCAAGGCUUUACAGCUGGGGCCCAGCCGCCCUCCUGUUGGGGAGGCCCUGAACCUACUAGGCACUGACUCUGAACGACUGCUUAACUUUGCUGGGAGCUUCCAUGAAGCCUGGGGCCUGCCCCUGCAGCUGGCCAUCACCCUCUACCUGCUGUACCAGCAGGUAGGUGUUGCCUUUGUGGGUGGUCUGAUCUUGGCACUGCUGCUGGUACCUGUCAACAAAGUGAUCGCCACCCGCAUCAUGGCCAGCAACCAGGAAAUGCUACGACACAAGGAUGCGCGUGUUAAGCUUGUCACAGAGCUGCUGAGUGGCAUUCGGGUCAUCAAGUUCUGCAGGUGGGAGCAGGCACUGGGGGCCCGAGUAGAGGCUUGCCGGGCUCGAGAGCUGGGGCGACUCCGGGUCAUCAAAUACCUGGAUGCAGCCUGUGUAUACCUGUGGGCUGCCCUGCCGGUUGUCAUCUCCAUCGUCAUCUUCAUCACCUAUGUCCUCAUGGGGCAUCUGCUCACUGCCACCAAGGUGUUCACAGCCCUGGCACUGGUACGAAUGCUCAUUCUUCCUCUCAACAACUUCCCUUGGGUGAUCAAUGGCCUCCUGGAGGCCAAAGUGUCCUUGGAGCGGAUCCAGCGUUUCCUCGACCUUCCAAACCACAACCCCGAGGCUUACUACAGCCCAGAUCCCCCCACAGAGCCAUCUACAAUAUUGGAGCUGCAUGGAGCCUUGUUCUCUUGGGACCCAGUUGGAACCAGCCAGGAGACCUUCAUCAGUCAUCUCGAAGUGAAAAAGGGUAUGCUGGUGGGCAUCGUGGGGAAGGUGGGCUGUGGGAAGAGCUCCCUGCUGGCUGCCAUCACUGGAGAGCUCCACAGGCUGCGUGGGCAUGUGGCAGUGUGGGGGCUGUCCAAAGGCUUUGGCCUGGCCACCCAGGAACCCUGGAUCCAGUUUGCCACCAUCCGAGACAACAUCCUCUUUGGGAAGACAUUUAAUUCACAGCUGUACAAGGAGGUGCUAGAAGCCUGCGCCCUCAAUGAUGACCUCAGUUCUCUUUCCUGCAAAGGGAUAGGAAGUGGGCCAGAAGGUAAUGGGGAGGUCCCUGAUCCACUGGGGCACCUGUUCCAUCAGAUCCUGCCUGCUGGAGACCAGACAGAGGUGGGGGAGAAGGGUGUGACCCUUAGUGGGGGACAGCGUGCCCGGAUUGCCCUUGCUCGUGCUGUCUACCAGGAAAAGGAACUCUAUCUCCUCGAUGACCCUCUGGCUGCUGUGGAUGCAGAUGUGGCCAACCAUCUACUGCACAGCUGCAUUCUGGGCGUGCUGAGCCACACCACACGGCUGCUAUGCACCCACCGCACCGAGUACCUGGAGAGGGCUGAUGUGGUGCUGCUGAUGGAAGCUGGGCGUCUCAUCCGGGCUGGGCCUCCCUCUGAGAUUCUGCCACUCGUACAAGCUGUCCCCAAAGCCUGGGCUGAGAAUGGACAAGAGUCUGACUCAGCCACAGCCCAGUCAGUACAGAACCAAGAGAAAACAAAGUGGGGGCUGGAGGAGGAGCAGAGCACAUCUGGUCGCCUGCUACAGGAAGAAAGCAAGAAGGAGGGCGCCGUGGCCUUGCAUGUGUACCAAGCUUACUGGAAGGCUGUAGGCCGGGGCUUGGUCUUAGCCAUCCUCUUCUCUCUGCUCCUCAUGCAAGCCACGCGGAAUGCUGCUGACUGGUGGCUCUCCCACUGGAUCUCUCAGCUGAAGGCUGAGAAUAGCUCCCAGGAGGCACUAGCCUCCACCAGCCCAGCUUCUAUGGGGCUCUUCUGUCCACAGCUGCUCCUCUUUUCCCCUGGAAACCUCUACACCCCAGUGUUCCCACUGCCCAGAGCUGCCCCCAAUGGCUCCUCAGACCUCCGUUUCUACCUCACCGUAUAUGCAACCAUUGCUGGUGUCAACUCCCUCUGCACCUUCCUCCGGGCAGUGCUCUUUGCAGCAGGCACCCUCCAAGCAGCUGCCACCCUACAUCGCCGCCUGCUGCAUCGAGUCCUUAUGGCACCAGUGACUUUCUUCAAUGCCACGCCCACGGGCCGGAUCCUAAACCGCUUCUCCUCCGACGUGGCCUGUGUGGAUGACAGCCUGCCCUUCAUCCUCAACAUCCUCCUGGCCAAUGCGGCAGGCCUGCUGGGGCUCCUGGCUGUGCUGGGCUCUGGCCUGCCCUGGCUGCUGCUGCUGCUGCCACCUUUGAGCAUCAUCUACUAUAAGGUGCAGCGCCACUACAGGGCCUCCUCACGGGAGCUGCGGCGCCUGGGCAGCCUCACCCUGUCUCCACUCUAUACCCACUUGGCGGAUACCUUGGCUGGCCUCCCUGUGCUCCGGGCUGCAGGGGCCACCUACAGGUUUGAGGAGGAGAACCAGCGACUCCUAGAGCUAAACCAGAGAUGCCAGUUUGCCACCAGCGCCACAAUGCAGUGGCUGGACAUUCGGCUACAGCUUAUGGGGGCAGCAGUGGUCAGCACCAUCGCAGGCAUUGCCCUGGUGCAAUACCAGCAGGGCCUCGCCAACCCAGGGCUGGUGGGCCUGUCGCUGUCUUACGCCCUGUCCCUGACAGGCCUGCUCUCGGGCCUGGUGAGCAGCUUCACACAGACAGAGGCCAUGCUGGUGAGCGUCGAGCGGCUGGAAGAGUACUCCUGUGACCUGCCCCAGGAACCCCAGGGCCAGAUGCUGCAGUUGGGCACUGGCUGGCUAACCCAGGGGAGCGUGGAGUUCCAGGACGUGGUGUUGGUGUACCGGCCAGGGCUGCCAAAUGCCCUGGAUGGAGUGACCUUCCGUGUGCAGCCUGGAGAGAAGUUGGGCAUCGUGGGCCGCACGGGCUCCGGCAAGUCUUCCCUGUUGUUGGUGCUCUUCCGGCUGCUAGAGCCCAGUUCAGGGCGAGUGCUGCUGGAUGGCGUGGACACCAGCCAGCUGGAGCUGGCCCAGCUCAGAUCCCAGCUGGCUAUCAUCCCCCAGGAGCCCUUUUUGUUCAGUGGGACUGUUCGGGAAAACCUGGACCCCCGAGGCCUACAUAAGGACAGGGCCUUGUGGCAAGCCCUGGAGCAGUGCCACCUGAAUGAGGUGAUUACAUCCAUGGGUGGUCUGGAUGGUGAGCUGGGUGAGGGGGGCCGCAGCUUAUCCCUUGGGCAGAGGCAGCUGUUGUGUCUGGCCAGGGCUCUCCUCACAGAUGCCAAGAUCCUGUGUAUUGAUGAGGCCACAGCAAGCGUGGACCAGAAGACAGACCAGCUGCUCCAACAGACCAUCUGCAAAAACUUUGCCAACAAGACAGUGCUGACCAUUGCCCACAGGCUCAACACGAUCCUGAACUCAGACCGGGUGCUGGUGCUGCAAGCGGGGAGAGUAGUUGAGCUGGACUCCCCGGCUGCCCUGCACAACCAGCCCCACUCAUUGUUCCAGCAGCUGCUGCAGAGCAGCCAGCAGGGAGUCCCCUCCUCGCUCGGAGGUCCCUGAGCCGCAUCCCACACCCUGCAGGGUUCUCCCCUCUCUCUGAUCCAGGCUGGGCCUGUACAGAGGUGCUGGCUGCUUGUUUACAUUCUCCUCUGGGGCUCUACCUCUCCACACUUCUCCAGAGGGGAAAAGGGCGCGCUGGGUUACUCUAGGAAACCACUCCUUGGUGGACAGCAUCCCAAGCUUCCUCAGAACCAGGCCUCUGCUCCGGCCCUCUUGCAUCUGGGACACCAGGCUCCUGGGCCUGAUGCGGAAAUGAGGACACGUCCAGCCCUGCAGCCUGUUUCCUCAUCCCUGCGGUGACACAGAAGGGUGCAAGCCAGCGUUCAGGAGAGGAUAGGGGGAGACCAGGCCCCUAUACCUCCCCACACCCACCCUUCUCAAUCAGAGCAGUCACACAUUUGUUACUGCUCUAGCUCCUAUAGGUUGUUGAAGAAAUGGCUCAGAAGGUACAAAAAAAAGUUAAACCCUGAACUAGGAACACUGGCAUGCAGGGGUUUCAUCUGAGUGCUCCUAUGUGGGUCUGAUCCUCAGUCUCGCAUCCUCCUCACAGUCCUGCCUCUUUCCUCAUCUCAUCACCAGGUUCUGGUCUAACUUUACACUCACCCCGAGGGCCCAGCACUCACCCUGCAUGUUCACAGGGUCCAGUCUUGCGCUCGCAGUCAUGCCCAUGAAAGCCUGGUAGGCACACACAAUGGUACUCACCGCCCCCAUCAUACAUGCACUGGCCUCCAUUCUGGCAGGGGGAUUGCGUGGUACAGAUAUGUUCAUCUGGAGAAGGGACAGGAAAGGCUCUGGGAUAGCCCCUCACAUCUGGUCCCCAGACCAGACUUGUCCAUGCCUUCCAGGCCCCAGGCUCUAUGGGUGUGGCUGUACUACAAACCGAGCCCAGGCUGGUGUGUACUCCUGAAUUUGGAGUCAGGAGGCUCCUGGCCCUCGCUCUCAGUCUGUCUGAAACUGACUUUGGGCUGGGUAUGGUGCCUCAUGCCUGUAAUCCCAGCACUUUGGGAGGCCGAGGUGGGGGAACGACUUGAGGUCAGGAGUUUGAGACCAGCCUGGCCAACAUGGCAAAAACCCAUCUCUACUAAAAAUAGAAAAAUUAGGCCAGUGAAGUGGCUCACACCUGUAAUUCCAGCACUUUAGGAGGCUAAGGCAGAUGGAUCACUUGAGGUCAGGAUAUGGAGAACAGCCUGGCCAGCAUGGUGAAAUCCCAUCUCUACUAAAAAUACAAAAAAUUAGCCAGGCGUGGUGGCAGGCACCUGUAAUCCCAGCUACUUGGGAGGCUGAGGCAGGAGAAUUGCUUAAACCCAGGAGGCAGAGGUUGCAGUGAGCCCAGAUCACACUACUGCACUCCAGCCUGGGCAAUAGAGUGAGACUCAGUCUCAAAAAAAAAAAAAAAAAUUAGCUGGGUGUGGUGGUGGGCACCUGUAAUCCCAGCUACUCGGGAGGCUGAGGCAGGAGAAUCACUUGAACCCAGGAGGUAGAGGUUGCAGUGAGCUGAGAUUAUACCACUGCACUCCAGCCUGGGUGACAGAUUGAGAGUUCAUCUCAAAAACAACUGAUUUUGAGCAGGUUAUAGCCCUUCUGUGGGCCUUAGUUUCAAAAAUGAGUACAAUUUUUAGCAGCUGUGUUUCCUAUCCUGUGGGGUUAUGGUGAGGAUCAAUUCAGACAACAUAUAAAAAGUAUAAGAUAAAAAAUUAUACCAUGUAUUUGAGGGUUUGACAAGGACACAAUAGGCAUUCAAUAAACACUGAUGGAUGUUCCCCUAAGAGCAUAGGGUUCCCAACCAACAGCUACCCUUCCUUCCCCUACCUUUGUCACAGAACUUGCCCGCCCAACCACUGAGGCAGAUGCACUGCCAUGGCUGGUGGCAGGUACCAUGCUGGCAGCCAGGCAUCCUCACACAGCGCUCACAGUGCAGCCCCUCCCAGCCCGGGUCGCACCUGACGGAGAAGCACAGGGGUCAGGGCUCUGGGUCAUGGAAGUUAAGAAAUGCAGGAGACAGAACUAGAGCUUCUAGAAACCAAGAGGACAUAUGACAGCCCCUAAGGGAAAGCAGACCUGUCCCAGGUAGGUGUAGGGCUGUGCAGGGUCAUAGGACAUGUAUAUAGAAUCAGACCAUCAGACAUCAGCACUCAAACCCUGGUUCUGUACUUUGUCUAACCUGAGCAUCAGUUUUCUUGUCUGUAAAUUGGGGAUACACCUUGCAGGGUUGAGUAGGGGAAGAAAUAAAAUGUCCGUAGAUGCUU